AACGAACGCUGGCGGCAUGCCUAACACAUGCAAGUCGAACGAGACGUUCGGGUCUAGUGGCGCACGGGUGCGUAACGCGUGGGAACCUGCCCUUAGGUUCGGAAUAACUCCCCGAAAGGGGUGCUAAUACCGGAUAAUGUCUUCGGACCAAAGAUUUAUCGCCUUUGGAUGGGCCCGCGUUGGAUUAGCUAGUUGGUAGGGUAAAAGCCUACCAAGGCGACGAUCCAUAGCUGGUCUGAGAGGAAGAUCAGCCACACUGGGACUGAGACACGGCCCAGACUCCUACGGGAGGGAGCAGUGGGGAAUAGUGGACAAGGGGCGAAAGUCUGAUCCAGCAAUGCCGCGUAAGUGAUGAAGGCCUUAGGGUUGUAAAGCUCUUUUACCCGGGAUGAUAAUGACAGUACCGGGAGAAUAAGCCCCGGCUAACUCCGUG
rnacentral:rRNA from 1 species